rnacentral:rRNA from 1 species
UACGGAGGGUGCAAACGUUGCUCGGAAUCAUUGGGCGUAAAGCGCACGUAGGCGGUCUGUUAAGUCGGAUGUGAAAGCCCUCGGCUCAACCGAGGAAGUGCAUACGAAACUGGCGGACUUGAAUAUGGAAGAGGGUCGCGGAAUUCCCGGUGUAGAGGUGAAAUUCGUAGAUAUCGGGAGGAACACCUGUGGCGAAGGCGGCCCCCUGGUCGGAUACUGACGCUGAGACGCGAAAGCGUGGGGAGCAAACAGG